rnacentral:pre_miRNA from 1 species
UUAGCUCAUAUUUGUAUGGAAUGGGAUCGCUUGCGUACGAUUGCCGCUAGGGGCGCUGUUCCUACUGCAUACAAAAUUGGGUUA